UGUAGGUGGCGGCGCAAAGGGUGGUUGAAGUGCAAAGAUACCAAAAAAGGAAAUGGAGUUGAAUGUGCUUCAUCGGUGACGGAUCAGAACUGGGGUUGAGUCCAUUGGGUUGCUGGGAGGUGGAGGAUGAAGUGGUGAAGAAAUGGUGGUCGGAGGUGGCGCGACAGCGGCGCUGCG